UACCAACAAUCAUGCUAAUCUUUGACAUUAGAAAGGACACUGCCUGAACCACUCAAAUCAGUCUUUGGUCUCUGAAAUAUCGCCGUCUUAUCUUUCAAGGUAAACAUGGCUCACAAAUUUGCUUGCAUAUACAUAAAAAAGCUACUCUUUAUCUUACCAACCAUUGAAAUAGACUUGUUUGGAUGAUUGAAUUGGAGAAUCUUGCAACCAUUUCUCAUCCUUUCAAUGUUUUCUUGGUCCCCUCUGGUCACAUUCUUAUGAAAAUGAAAUUGAAGAUCUUUUUCUUAGGGACAUGGCCAUUAAUAAUUUGACAUUUAGUUCGUGUGAUGCACUUAAUGCAAAGUUCAUCAUUCGGGUCCGGGCUUGUUUGGUCAAAGUUGUCUGGUUUUGGUUUUGGUUUUGGCAGUGAUUGGUUGGUUGAGCUUAAAAUUUUCAGGCUAUGCCUGGGUUUUUCUUCUACUCAAUUUGUGGAAUGUUUUUCUUAGACAAACCAUGUUGAACCUUGUCUAAUGGUUGUGAUCCUAGUUAUCAGGUUCAAGUUGUUCGUUAGUCAUUGUAAUUCAAGAUAUUAUCAUUAAUUGCAAGCAUUAGUUUCUUUGACUUGAU